rnacentral:rRNA from 1 species
AGGACGAACGCUGGCGGCGUGCUUAACACAUGCAAGUCGAGCGGUAAGGCCUUUCGGGGUACACGAGCGGCGAACGGGUGAGUAACACGUGGGUGAUCUGCCCUGCACUCUGGGAUAAGCUUGGGAAACUGGGUCUAAUACCGGAUAUGACCACAGUGCGCAUGUGUUGUGGUGGAAAGAUUUAUCGGUGCAGGAUGGGCCCGCGGCCUAUCAGCUUGUUGGUGGGUAAUGGCCUACCAAGGCGACGACGGGUAGCCGACCUGAGAGGGUGACCGGCACACUGGGACUGAGACACGGCCCAGACUCCGUACGGGAGCGAGCAGUGGGAAUAUGCACGAAGUGGGACGGAAGCCCGAGUGACGAGCGACGCGGCGUGACGGAUGAACGGCCGUUCGGUAGUAACCUC